rnacentral:rRNA from 1 species
AACAGAUAAGGAGCUUGCUCCUUUGACGUUAGCGGCGGACGGGUGAGUAACACGUGGGUAACCUACCUAUAAGACUGGGACAACUUCGGGAAACCGGAGCUAAUACCGGAUAAUAUGUUGAACCGCAUGGUUCAAUAGUGAAAGAUGGUUUUGCUAUCACUUAUAGAUGGACCCGCGCCGUAUUAGCUAGUUGGUGAGGUAACGGCUCACCAAGGCAACGAUACGUAGCCGACCUGAGAGGGUGAUCGGCCACACUGGAACUGAGACACGGUCCAGACUCCUACGGGAGGCAGCAGUAGGGAAUCUUCCGCAAUGGGCGAAAGCCUGACGGAGCAACGCCGCGUGAGUGAUGAAGGUCUUAGGAUCGUAAAACUCUGUUAUUAGGGAAGAACAAACGUGUAAGUAACUGUGCACGUCUUGACGGUACCUAAUCAGAAAGCCACGGCUAACUACGUGCCAGCAGCCGCGGUAAUACGUAGGUGGCAAGCGUUAUCCGGAAUUAUUGGGCGUAAAGCGCGCGUAGGCGGUUUUUUAAGUCUGAUGUGAAAGCCCACGGCUCAACCGUGGAGGGUCAUUGGAAACUGGAAAACUUGAGUGCAGAAGAGGAAAGUGGAAUUCCAUGUGUAGCGGUGAAAUGCGCAGAGAUAUGGAGGAACACCAGUGGCGAAGGCGACUUUCUGGUCUGUAACUGACGCUGAUGUGCGAAAGCGUGGGGAUCAAACAGGAUUAGAUACCCUGGUAGUCCACGCCGUAAACGAUGAGUGCUAAGUGUUAGGGGGUUUCCGCCCCUUAGUGCUGCAGCUAACGCAUUAAGCACUCCGCCUGGGGAGUACGACCGCAAGGUUG